GAUGAACGCUAGCGGCAGGCCUAAUACAUGCAAGCUGAACGGUAAAUGUUAUAGCAAUAUAAUAUGAGAGUAGCGUAAGGGUGCGUAACACGUAUGCAAUCUACCCGCAACAGGAGGAUAGCUCCCCGAAAGGGGAAUUAAUACUCCAUAAGAUCACGAGAGGGCAUCUGAUUGUGAUUAAACUCCAAGGGGUUGCGGAUGAGCAUGCGUCUGAUUAGUUAGUUGGUGAGGUAACGGCUCACCAAGACGAUGAUCAGUAGGGGAACUGAGAGGUUGAUCCCCCACACUGGCACUGAGAUACGGGCCAGACUCCUACGGGAGGCAGCAGUAGGGAAUAUUGGUCAAUGGGUGAGAGCCUGAACCAGCCAUGCCGCGUGCAGGAAGAAAGCCUUCUGGGUUGUAAACUGCUUUUGCCAGGGGAUAAAAUACCCAUGCGUGGGGAAUUGAAGGUACCUGGUGAAUAAGCCACGGCUAACUACGUGCCAGCAGCCGCCGUAA
rnacentral:rRNA from 1 species